rnacentral:rRNA from 2 species
UCUGGUGACCAUGGCGGAGGUUUAAAACCCGUUCCCAUUCCGAACACGGCCGUGAAGCCCUCCUGCGGCGAUGGUACUAUGUCUUAAGGCAUGGGAGAGUAGCGCGUUGCCAGGG